CCAGUCUAUAGUCUAAUCUCUUUGGGGGGAGCUACCCAUUAUCUCUCUUCAUUAACAUUAUGACAUUCUUGCUGUUCUUUUUGAUUUCGUUGAUGGUCAUUCCAAAAUGGGUCUUCUCGGACAUUCAGCUUGUAUCAUCUGGGCCAGGAGUUGUGAGACCCGGAGAGAAUCUCCACCUGGUUUGUAAGGUGACAGGUUUCUCCAUCUCUACUCGGUAUUAUGCUUGGCAUUGGAUCCGCCAGCCUCCAGGGAAAGGUCUAGAAUGGGUUGGAAGAAUAUACCUCUAUGAUGGUAGCAAGUUGUAUGCCCCUUCCCUGAAGAGCCGUGCCACCAUUUCUUCAGACACCUCCAAGAACGAGUUCUCCCUCCAGCUGAACUCCCUGACAGCUGCCGACUCGGCUGUGUAUUUCUGUGCCAGCAUCGGCUGGCCCAUGAGUUUGAUUAUGAAUGUGGAUUUUUUUUGGGGGGUUGGGUCCCCCCAAAAGAUUCUCACCCUCACAGCAAAUGAAAUAUUGGCAAACUUGGGGGGUCUCAAUGCAGGUAAAAGAGCCCUUUGCCAACCUUUCAGCUCGGCAUGA